rnacentral:rRNA from 1 species
UAACGCGUGGGAACGUACCCUUCACUACGGAAUAGUCCCGGGAAACUGGGUUUAAUACCGUAUACGCCCUUCGGGGGAAAGAAUUUCGGUGAGGGAUCGGCCCGCGUUAGAUUAGUUAGUUGGUGGGGUAAUGGCCUACCAAGACUACGAUCUAUAGCUGGUUUGAGAGGAUGAUCAGCAACACUGGGACUGAGACACGGCCCAGACUCCUACGGGAGGCAGCAGUGGGGAAUCUUAGACAAUGGGGGCAACCCUGAUCUAGCGAUGCCGCGUGAGUGAUGAAGGCCUUAGGGUCGUAAAGCUCUUUCGCCUGUGAUGAUAAUGACAGUAGCAGGUAAAGAAACCCCGGCUAACUCCGUGCCAGCAGCCGCGGUAAUACGGAGGGGGUUAGCGUUGUUCGGAAUUACUGGGCGUAAAGCGCACGUAGGCGGAUUAGUCAGUCAGAGGUGAAAUCCCAGGGCUCAACCCUGGAACUGCCUUUGAUACUGCUAGUCUUGAGUUCGAGAGAGGUAAGUGGAAUUCCGAGUGUAGAGGUGAAAUUCGUAGAUAUUCGGAGGAACACCAGUGGCGAAGGCGGCUUACUGGCUCG